rnacentral:tRNA from 1 species
GGGCCCGUAGCUCAACCGGCUAGAGCGCUCGACUGGUAAAAGUCAGGGCGAAGCUCAUAGGGAGCGAGGCUCCUGAGAUACCGGGCGGUUGAGGGUUCGAGCCCCUCCGGGCCCA